AAGUCGUAACAAGGUUUCCGUAGGUGAACCUGCGGAAGGAUCAUUAACAAUUUUGGAGGCAGGCUGUAUAAGUCUGGUUGGCAACAACCAGCAUGCCCCUCUGUUUUGUACCCUUGUCUAUUUGCGCACUCAUGUUUCCUCGGUGGGCUUGCCCGCCGAUUGGACAGAUAUAAACCCUUUUUAAUUGUUAAAUCAGCGUCUGAAAUAAACGUAAUAAUUACAACUUUCAACAACGGAUCUCUUGGUUCUG
rnacentral:misc_RNA from 1 species